CGAACGCUGGCGGCGUGCUUAACACAUGCAAGUCGAAUGCGAAAGGAUCCUUCGGGGUGUGAGUAGCAUGGCAGACGGGUGAGGAGUACGUAUCUGACUGGACUCAGGCUGGGGGAUAGUCCUCCGAAAGGAGGUUGAAUACCGCAUGUGCUCGAUGCUGUCGAGGUAUCGAGGAAAGUUGGCCUCUGCGUGCACGCUGAUGGCCUGAGACAGGGAUGCGUCCUAUUAGCUAGCUGGUGGGGUAAUGGCCUACCAGGGCAACGAUGGGUAGCUGGUCUGAGAGGAUGAUCAGCCACACUGGGACUGCGACACGGCCCAGACUCCUACGGGAGGCAGCAGUGGGGAAUUUUGCACAAUGGGCGCAAGCCUGAUGCAGCAACGCCGCGUGAGUGACGACGCCUUUCGAGGUGUAAAGCUCUGUCGAACGGGACGAAGACCUCUUUGUGAAGAGCUUAGAGGGAUGACGGUACCGUUGGAGGAAGCCCCGGCUAACUCC
rnacentral:rRNA from 1 species